rnacentral:rRNA from 1 species
GACGAACGCUGGCGGCGUGCCUAACACAUGCAAGUCGAGCGGGAACCUCAGGAGGGGUAACCCUCCUGAGGGGAGAGCGGCGAACGGGUGAGUAACACGUGGGCAACCUGCCCCGGACACCGGGAUAACCCAGGGAGACCUGAGCUAAUACCGGAUACUCCGGCGAGAUCGCAUGGUCGCGCCGGGAAAGCUCCGACGGUCCGGGAUGGGCCCGCGGCCCAUCAGCUUGUUGGUGGGGUAACGGCCCACCAAGGCGACGAAGGGUAGCGGGGCUGCGAGGACGGCCAGCCAGACUGGGACUGAGACACGGCCCAGACUCCUACGGGAGGCAGCAGUGGGGGAUCUUGCGCUAAUGCGCGAAAGCGUGACGCAGCGACGCCGCGUGGGGGAUGAAGGCCCUCGGGUUGUAAACCCCUUUCGGCAGGGACGAAGCGAAAGUGACGGUACCUGCAGAAGAAGUCCCGGCUAACUACGUGCCAGCCGCCGCAGUAAUAC